CCUACGGGAGGCAGCAGUAGGGAAUAUUGGUCAAUGGAUGCAAGUCUGAACCAGCCAUGCCGCGUGCAGGAAGAAGGCCUUCUGGGUUGUAAACUGCUUUUGCCAGGGGAUAAAAUGGGCAUGCGUGCCUAAUUGAAGGUACCUGGUGAAUAAGCCACGGCUAACUACGUGCCAGCAGCCGCGGUAAUACGUAGGUGGCGAGCGUUGUCCGGAUUUAUUGGGUUUAAAGGGUGCGUAGGCGGCCUUAUAAGUCAGUGCUGAAAUAUCCCGGCUUAACCGGGAGGGUGGCAUUGAUACUGUAGGGCUUGAGUACAGUUGAGGUAGGCGGAAUUGACGGUGUAGCGGUGAAAUGCUUAGAUAUCGUCAAGAACACCGAUAGUGAAGACAGCUUACUAAACUGUAACUGACGCUGAGGCACGAAAGUGUGGGGAUCAAACAGG
rnacentral:rRNA from 1 species